rnacentral:rRNA from 1 species
AACGAACGCUGGCGGCAUGCCUAACACAUGCAAGUCGAACGAGACCUUCGGGUCUAGUGGCGCACGGGUGCGUAACGCGUGGGAACCUGCCUUUAGGUUCGGAAUAACUCAGAGAAAUUUGAGCUAAUACCGGAUGAUGUCUUCGGACCAAAGAUUUAUCGCCUUUAGAUGGGCCCGCGUUGGAUUAGCUAGUUGGUGGGGUAAAGGCCUACCAAGGCGACGAUCCAUAGCUGGUCUGAGAGGAUGAUCAGCCACACUGGGACUGAGACACAGCCCAGACUCCUACGGGAGGCAGCAGUGGGGAAUAUUGGGCAAUGGGCGAAAGCCUGAUCCAGCAAUGCCGCGUGAGUGAUGAAGGCCUUAGGGUUGUAAAGCUCUUUUACCCGAGAUGAUAAUGACAGUAUCGGGAGAAUAAGCUCCGGCUAACUCCGUG